AAUGGGUCAGCGACUUAUAUUCUGUAGCAAGGUUAACCGAAUAGGGGAGCCGAAGGGAAACCGAGUCUUAACUGGGCGUUAAGUUGCAGGGUAUAGACCCGAAACCCGGUGAUCUAGCCAUGGGCAGGUUGAAGGUUGGGUAACACUAACUGGAGGACCGAACCGACUAAUGUUGAAAAAUUAGCGGAUGACUUGUGGCUGGGGGUGAAAGGCCAAUCAAACCGGGAGAUAGCUGGUUCUCCCCGAAAGCUAUUUAGGUAGCGCCUCGUGAAUUCAUCUCCGGGGGUAGAGCACUGUUUCGGCAAGGGGGUCAUCCCGACUUACCAACCCGAUGCAAACUGCGAAUACCGGAGAAUGUUAUCACGGGAGACACACGGCGGGUGCUAACGUCCGUCGUGAAGAGGGAAACAACCCAGACCGCCAGCUAAGGUCCCAAAG
rnacentral:rRNA from 1 species